rnacentral:rRNA from 1 species
CGGACGGGUGAGUAACGCGUGAGUAACCUGCCUUACACAAGGGGAUAGCCGUUGGAAACGACGAAUAAUACCCUAUGACAUAAACUCUUCGCAUGAAAGAAACUUAAUCAAAGAUUUAUCGGUGUAAGAUGGACUCGCGUCUGAUUAGCUAGUUGGUGAGGUAACGGCCCACCAAGGCGACGAUCAGUAGCCGGCUUGAGAGAGUGUACGGCCACAUUGGGGACUGAGACACGGCCCAGACUCCUACGGGAGGCAGCAGUU